rnacentral:rRNA from 1 species
GACGAACGCUGGCGGCGUGCCUAAUGCAUGCAAGUUGAGCGCUGAAGGUUGGUACUUGUACCGACUGGAUGAGCAGCGAACGGGUGAGUAACGCGUGGGGAAUCUGCCUUUGAGCGGGGGACAACAUUUGGAAACGAAUGCUAAUACCGCAUAAAAACUUUAAACACAAGUUUUAAGUUUGAAAGAUGCAAUUGCAUCACUCAAAGAUGAUCCCGCGUUGUAUUAGCUAGUUGGUGAGGUAAAGGCUCACCAAGGCGAUGAUACAUAGCCGACCUGAGAGGGGGAUCGGCCACAUUGGGGCUGGGACACGGCCCAACCUCCUACGGGAGGCAGCAGUAGGGAAUCUUCGGCAAUGGACGCAAGUCUGACCGAGCAACGCCGCGUGAGUGAAGAAGGUUUUCGGAUCGUAAAACUCUGUUGGUAGAGAAGAACGUUGGUGAGAGUGGAAAGCUCAUCAAGUGACGGUAACUACCCAGAAAGGGACGGCUAACUACGUG